GGGGAUGUAGGUAAGUGGUAGAGCACUUGUCUAGCAUGUAGAGGUCCUAGGUUCAAUCCCUAGUACUUCCA
rnacentral:tRNA from 1 species